GAUGAAGAACGUAGCGAAAUGCGAUACUUGGUGUGAAUUGCAGAAUCCCGUGAACCAUCGAGUCUUUGAACGCAAGUUGCGCCUCAAGCCAUUAGGUUGAGGGCACGUCUGCCUGGGCGUCACAUAUCGUUGCCUGAUGCCAGUUUCCUCGUGAUGGGUGACUGUGCAGGGCGAAUGAUGGCUUCCCGUGAGCAUUGUUGCCUCAUGGUUGGUUGAAAAUUGAGUCCUUGGUAGGGAGCGCCGUGAUAGAUGGUGGUUGAGUGACGAACGAGACCCAAUCAUGUGAGACCCCUACCGAAUUUGGCCUUCAUGACCCACAUGCGUCUUUGGAACGCUCAUGACGAGACCUCAGGUCAGGCGGGGCAACCCGCUGAGUUUAAGCAUAUCAAUAAGCGGAGGA
rnacentral:misc_RNA from 1 species